AAAUCAUAUAAAAAUCAACAAAAGAAAAAUAUUUCUAUUCAUCAAAUUCACCUCUGUUAGUAAGUUGAAUUUAAUCAAAAUGAGCAGAUAUAUUUUGUAGGUUAAAAAAGUAAGUAAUUGGGAAUUUUACUAUUUAAUUUUUUGAGACUUUUAAUUUAUUAUUCUUAUAUUUUAUUGUAAACUUGUCUUUAAAAAGUUUAGAGUCAUUAGAAGGCAGUAAAUGUUUUAAUUGAUAAAACAUUUUUUUUUAGAAAAACAGACAAUUAUGUACUUGAAUUAGGGUUGACAAUCAGUAUUUAUUGUUACAAAAUGAUGUUUAUACAUGCAUGGUACCCAAUAACAGUACUCUGUUAGCUGUGUGUACUGGUUUAUACAGGCAGUUUUUACAUUUCUCAUUCAUUUUUGUUCUGAUAAGUAAAUUUCUAAUAAAGCAAUCAACACCUAUCAAUGUAUAUUCCAUCGUCAACAAAGGUUAUUUAGUUUUCAAAAAAGAAGAGGAAAGAAAUAAAUUUACUGUUAUUUAGUUUGUUGUAAUUCUACACCAUAAUAUUCGUCUUUUGUAUAAUUAUUGUUACUUAUAUCACACUAAUGCAUUUAAAAAUUAAAUGUUAAAAUGUAUAUUCUAUAAACUGUAUUGCUUUUGAAGUAUUAUUAUUAUUAUUAUUAUGUAAGGUCAGCUUGAAGGACAUUUCCCUAUUUUUCCUUAUAAGGACAGUUAUUUUUACAGAAACAAUCAUUUUUGGAAUUCUUUUGGUUGUAAUAAUAUUAAUAGUCCUACAGUUAUAAUCUUUAUCAUGUAUUUUUUUUACUCACAUACAAUCUUAGGGAACAUACCAUUGCCAAAGUAGACGUAUGGAAGUGAAGAUGAUAUUAUUGUUCUUGAACUAAUCAAGAAUUUCUAAUUUUAAUAUCCAAAUUUAAAGUUGUGUGAGUCAAUACUUUGAUACUAUUUUAUUUUUAAAUUGUUUUUUUUAGAUGUAGAUAUAAAGAAAUGGUUUUAUUUUCUCUUUUAUCAUUAAAAGAGACUUCUCAUUUUGCAUAUAUUAUGAUAGUUAACAGAUAUUGUCUGAGUCUUUUCUGGGUAAUCUGUUUGAAAAGUCCAUGAAGACAAGAUAUUGUCUGAGGCCUUUCUGGGUAAUCUGUUUGAAAAGUCCAUGACGACAAUGGAAACAAUAGCAUUGCCAUUUUGAAUUAAAGCAAAAGAAGAAGUUCAAAGUAAGGAAAAGAAUUCAGAUUGACAUGAUGAAUGUAUUAUUUUUAUGAUGGAAAUCUUUGUGUAGUUUUAAUUUCAUUUUUGGGUAAAGAUUGCUUGAAAUGCAAGCAAAACCCUAUGGCACUGUCUUGAUAUCUAUAUUCUCCAUGGUUUAUCACUACAUUUGAUUGUUUAAACAAAACAGUGCAGUGAUGUAAUCAUUAUUUGAUCCUAUCCAGGUUAUGUCAUGCAAUAUAUUGAUGAUAAUAAAUGUUAUACUUUAGUAAAAAUAUGAUAU
rnacentral:lncRNA from 1 species